UACAGAGGUCUCAAGCGUUUGUUCGGAUUCAUUGGGCGUAAAGGGUGCGUAGGCGGCGCGGUAAGUCGGGUGUGAAAUCUCGGAGCUUAACUCCGAAACUGCAUUCGAUACUGCCGUGCUUGAGGACUGGAGAGGAGACUGGAAUUUACGGUGUAGCGGUGAAAUGCGUAGAUAUCGGGAGGAACACCGGUGGCGAAGGCGGCAUCCUGGACCGGUAUUGACGCUGAGGCGGCGAAAGCUAGGGGAGCAA
rnacentral:rRNA from 1 species